UCUGUAUCAUCUGCGAUUUUUAUUCUAUUUAGCUAUUACUUAGUAUCUCUGUGUGUGUCUUGCAGUUCUCUCACAUUCCUUAUAUUUUGUGGUUUGAUCCCAAGACGCAGGACCACCUGCCCCCCAACUCUCUAAAGGCUGUGGCUCAUUAGACUGCACUCUGGUGAUUGGUGGUCUUUGUUCAGUUCAGUCAGCUGUGAGUGUGGAGAAGAGAGGACUGAGGAGAGAGAUGAGCAGCAUCUGGAGGUGAGAUGACAAUUAGACAGGCUGUG